UCCCUGAAGAAUAGCUCAGUUGGUAUUGCACGAGACUCUUAAUCUCAUGGUCAUGGGUUUGAGUCCAAUGUUGGGUGGAA